GAGGAGAAUUGCUUGAACCCAGGAGGCGGAGGUUGCAGUGAACUGAGAUCACACCACUGCACUCUAGCCUGGGUGAGAGACAGGGACACUGUAUCAACAACAACAACAAAAAACAUUUUUUUUCUCUAAUGGAGUCAGACCAUUUAAACCAUCUGUUGUGCUAAUGACAAUCUAUCAUUCUAAGAUUAGUUAAUCCUUGUACUAUAUUCUCUAUGUAAUGAGAACAUUUCUCUUUCCUAUUUUUAUAUUUAUUUAUUUCUUCGAGAUAUAGUCUCACUUUGUCACCCAGCCUGGAGUGCAGUAGCAUGAUCGUGGCUCAUUGAAACUUCAAAAUCCUGGGCUCAAGCGAUCCUCUUGUCUCAGUCUCCUGAGUACCUGGGACAAUAGGUAUGAGCCACCCCACCCCUAUUUUACGCUUUAAAAAAAAAAAAAAAAACCUUAUAACUCUUGUUUUCACCAAAAGUGUUGAUAGAAAAGAAGUGACACAAUAUUAUAUCAGAAAAUUUCAACACAAUCUCUUUUUUCUAUCUUAUGGCUAUUAAAUUACCUGUUCUUUGUGUUUGUUUGGUUUUAUUGCAUAAAUAUUAUUAACACUAAGCAUUCAGAAAAAGCAACACAUUUUCUUUCUGCCAAUUUUAAUGAAGGAUUUUGAUGGCUGGAGAAAUAUCAAACAGGUGAAGAAGCUUAUGAACACCAUCAGAAAGUACUGAGCUGAUCAAACCCAAGACGUUUACAGUGGUUGCUAUGGACCCCUUUAGCAGUUGGGAAAGCUCCAACCCCAUUUCAGGAUAAUGUUUUUCAUGACGUAAAAUGCAUAGGAAGGAAACCAGUUCUAUUAAAAAAAAAGUACAUAGAAAUACGUGGCCGGGCGUGGUGGCUCAUGCCUGUUAUCCCAGCACUUUGGGAAGCCGAGGCAGGUGAACCAUUUGAGGUCAGGAGUUUGAGACCAGCCUGGCCAACAUGGUGAAACCCCAUUUCUACUAAAAAUACAAAAAAAAAAAAAAAUUAGCCCCGGGCAGUAGUGGCGUGUGCCUGUAACCCCAGCUGCUUGGGAGACUGAGGCAGGAUCGCUUGAGGUUCGCUUGAGGCAGAGGUUACAGUUAGCGGAGAUCGCGCCGCUGCACUCCAGUCUGGGCGACAGAGUGAGACCCUCUCUUAAAAAAAAAAAAAAAAAAGCCCAAAUAGAAAUAUGUGAAGUAAGAGGAAGAAAGUGAAUGUUUAUGAGGUUCCACUAGGCACCAGAACCACGUUAUGAUUUAAUCUUCACAAUAUCCUAUUGUAGAAGGAAGCGUUACUAUCAUUAUUAUUGUCAUCCUCUUUCUGUAUAUGAGGAAACUAAAAAUCAGAUAGGUGAUGUGACUUAUUGAAAGUCACACACUGAUAGGGUUUGGCUGUGUGUCCCUGCCCAAAUCUCUUCUUGAAUUGUAGUUCCUGCAAUUCCCACGUGUUGUGGGAGGGAUCUGGUGGGAGGUAAUUGAAUCCUGUGGGCAGUUUCCCCCUUACUGUUCUCGUGGUUGUGAAUAAAUCUCACGAGAUCUGAAGGUUUUAUAAGGGGUUUCCCCUUUCACUUGUCUCUUAUUCUCUUUUUGCCCGCUGCCAUGUAAGAUGCCCUUUUGCUCUUCCUUCAUCUUCCACCGUGAUUGUGAGGCCUCCGCAGCCAUGUGGAACUGUUAGUCCAUUAAACCUCUUUCCCUUAUAAAUUACCCAGUCUCAGGUGUGUCUUUAUUAGCAGCUUGAGAACAGACUAAUACACACACCUAGUAGGUGAUGGAUGGGAUUCAAGUCUGGGGCUACCUGACUCUAAAGGCCAGGAAAAAGAGAGAGAAAUUAAAGAAGAAUUGGUGAAAAUAGUGGCAGAUUAAUAAUGAUGAUAAUGAUGGUGGUGGUGGUGAGGAUGAUGAUAAUGAUGGCAGCUAAAGCUUAUAUAGGCACUGUGUUAAGAGCUUUCCAUGUUAACUCCUUUAAUUCUCUCAACAACACUGAGGCAGAUAAUCUUAUCUCCAUUUUACAGAUAAAGAAAUUGAAGCACAGAGAGGUUAAGUAACUUUCCUAAGACCACACAGCUCAUCAGUGACAAUUCAAAGUCAAGCAUGACUAUGCUCUACUGCCUCUUGGACUAACAUUAACAGUGGGCCAGACACUGUGGCUCACGCCUGUAAUCCCAGCACUUUGGGAGACCAAGGCAAGUGGAUCACAUGAGGUCAGGAGUUCGAGACCAGCAUGGCCAAUAUGGUGAAACCCCGUCUUUACUAAAAAUACAAAAAUUAUCCAGGCAUUGUGGCACACGUCUGUAAUCCCAGCUACUCUGGAGGCUGGGGCAGAAGAAUCGCUUGAACCCGGGAGACAGAGGUUGCAGUGAACCAAGAUCAUGCCACUGCACUCUAGCCUGGGCCACAGAGCAAGACUCUGUCUCAAAAAAAAAAAAAAAAUUAACAAUGACCUAAAAUUAACUUAUUAUUUACUUGUUUACUUAAGUAUUGUCUGCCUUCUCCACUAGAAUAAAAUUCCACUCUAGAAAGUUCUUUGUCUUCUUGAGGGCUAUAUUCCAGGAGCCCAUUGCAUUGCCAUGCCUCACACCUGUAAUCCCAGUACUUUGGGAGGCCGAGGUAGGUGGAUCACUUGAGAUCAGGAGUUCAGGACCAGCCUGGUCAACAUGGCGAAACUCUGUCUCUAUUAAAAAUACAAAAAUUAUCUGCGUGUGGUAGCGUGCAUCCAUAGUCCCAACUACUUGGGAGGCUGGGGCAAAAGAAUUGCUUGAACCUGGGAGACAGAGGUGUCAGUGAGCCCAGAUCAUGUCAUUGCACUCCAGCCUGGGUGACAGAGCAAGACUCUAUCUCAACAAAAGCAAAAAAAAAAACCAAAAAGCUUUAUUCAAAUAUAAUAUUACUAGACCAAUGGCAAUAUUUUCCCAAAAAGGCAGAUGAGGUAAUUCAAAUUUACAAGUCAGAGACUUAGAAUUGUAUACACCCGUUUCCUGUAACGUGUGAAUUUUUCAAUUAAAUUAAGGUAAAAUGAAAAUGUUGUUUCUUUUGUUUUCUUGUUCCAGCUGUUACAAUGUGAAUAUUUUGAAGGAAUCAAUAAAGGAAUAAGAGCUGAGAAAAGGAUUAGAGAGACAACACGGCCCAGGGAGCAGCACAGGAUGCACCAAGGAACUUUUGCCGGCAGAGCUUCGGCUGAAUCCUUGGAUGCAGAACUCAAUGAUAUGGAGACUAAUUGUACGUUGUUGGUGAAAUGUAAAAUGGUGCAGCUGCUAUGGGAGAGACUGAACGUCCCUCUGAUGGUUAAAAACAGAGUAAACACAUGACCCAGGAAUUCCACUCUUAGGUAUUUACCUAAGUGACAUGAAACACAAGUCCACACCAAAACUUGGACUAGAAUGUUCAUAGCAGCAUUAUUCAUAACGGCCAAAACGUAGCAACAACCCAAAUGCCUAUCAACUGACUAAUGGAUAUAUAAUAUGUGCUAUAGCCAUACAAUGGAAUAUCAUUUGGCAAUAAAUAGAGAUUAAGUACUGAUAUAUACUACAGUAUUUAUGAACCUUGAAAACAUUAUGCUAAGUGAAAGAAGCCAGGAGGACCCAGUGUAAGAUUUCACUUAUAAGAAAUGUCCAGAAUAGGCAAAGCUAUAGAAAGAGAAAGAAGAUUAAUGGUGCGUGGAGCCGGGCGAAGCAGUGGGGAUUUAGGAAUGAGGGCUAUGAGGGGUAGGAUUUCUUUUAGGGGUUGUGGAAAUGUUCUAAAAUUGAUCAUAUUGAUGGAUGCACAAUACUGUGAAUACACCAAAAGCAAUUGAAUUGCACACUUCAAAUGGAUGAAUUGUACAGCAUACGAAGUAUAUCUCAAUAUAACUGUUUUUUUAAAAAAGAUGCAUAGUAUAUUGCAGGAUCACUCAAAAACCACCUGGUGUGUACAGGGAGGGGCCCACGAGCCAGCCAGGCCCCUCAGCAUCUUCCCAGGGGAACUUGGCUCUGUCUGCAUACAUGAUGUAAAAGGUGACCAGGGAGCAGCAAAGCCAAGAGCUGAGGAGUAGAAUUCUUGCAGCUGCAGCUGCUCAGAAAUCCCCAUUCAGGGCUUUACUGGCAAGGUACACCUUGGUUAAAAUCUCAUCAUGUCAUUUGUAUGGUCAGAAUGAUGUUGAGACUGGUUAAUAUUUUGACUAAAAAAAUAACAAUGGUGAGAAAAUGAGAAAAGAGAAGGUGGGGUAUAAAGGGAGCUAAAUCCGCAUCUAUCCCAACCAGAAAUCAAUCAAUAACAGUUAAUGUUAGUAAGUUGAGCAAUAGGAGUGGAAGCAUCUCAUUUAGACAUGUAGAAGUAGCUGCCUAGUGGAUCAGCUAGAGGUAUUUAAUGUGGCUGCCUCUGAGAAGGGGCCAUAUGGAGACAGAUAGGGGAGGAGAGGGCUAUAUUUUACUUUGAGAUUUUUAAGUGCUAUUUUUUUUUAAGUAUUAAAUUGAACCAUAUGAAAUUGCCAUUUUCAUAGGUGCAAAAUGGUUGAAGAUAGGCAAUUCCAUAUGAUUCAAACUUAUAUCUGAAUGCAUUUAUUUUGGUUGCAUAUUUUGAAAAAUAAUAAAGCCUAUUGGAUAAAAGAUAUCUGUAUUAUUCUGUUCCCAUGCUGCCAAUAAAGACAUACCAGAGACCAGGUAAUUUAAAAAAGAAAGAGGUUUAAUUGACUCACAAUUCAUCAUGACUGGGGAGGCCGCAGGAAACUUACAAUUAUGGUGGAAGAGGAAGCCAACAGUACCAAGGUGCUGGAGGUGGAGGCUGUCAGCCACCUGCACUCCACGCAGCUGCGUGGCUAGCUCCUUCUUGAAGGUUCAUCCGAGCUGUGCAUCUCCACAUUUGACCAUAUUUGUUGGGUAGUUACCUGCUCCAAGCAGUUUCCAUCUCCUCACUCAUUAAUUUUCAAGAUGAUUCUGCAAGGUAAGAUAGGAGACAGAGGCAUGGUGAAAUCCAUGAGUAAAUUAUCUUGCCCAAGACGAGACCGUGAGUAGCAGACUCCAUUCAGGGCCAGACAGGAGAUCUGACUCCCAUGUCCGAGCUCUGAAUUUCCACACUACCCCAUGUUACAGUGGAUGUAUUGUUUUAGGCAUGGAAGACAGUCUGGAGACACAUCCACCAGACUCUCACGGUGGCCUAUCUCAGGGUGAAGGUGAAGAUUUGAGAGAUACCUUUCACGUGGCAGAUUUUGAUCUAAUUUAUAUCUUAUUGUACAACAAGAAUUGUUAGCUUUGUAAUAAUAAACAAUAUAAAGUGACUGUGGAAAAAACAGAAAGGUUCCAAGCUUGACAAUCUGCCUGUUGUGGGCUACAGGUGCUGUCAGGUAUAAUGGGGACAGAAGAGAAGGUACCUGAGUCCUUUGUUAUUGUUGGGAGUCCUGUGGGUGCCUGGGGACCAAGACUGGUGGAAGGUGAGCAGGUGAGGCUGUUACUGUCCACUUUCUACUCCAUUUCCACCGCUAAGUGCUUUGAGCAAGGUUGGUGUUGUGUCCCUCCUCAACGUGGUGUUUUUUUGUUUAGUUUUGUUUUUUGUUUUUUGAGACAAAGUCUCACUGUGUCACCCAAGCUGAAGUGAAGUGGCACAAUCAUAUCUUACUGCAGCCUCCAAUUCCUGGGCUCAAGUGAUUCUCCCGCCUCAGCCUCCCAAGUAGCUAGGACUACAGGCAUGCACUGUCACGCCCGGCUAAUUGAAAAAAAAGAAAUUUAGAGAUGGGAUCUUGCUAUGUUGCUCAGGAUGGUCUUGAACUCCUGGCCUCAAACAAUCCUUUCCCCUCAGCUUCCUGAGGAUGUGUAAUUAUGACUCGUGUCAAUGUGUCAGCAACCCCCAAAUUCAUACAGUGAAGCCCUAAACCCCAGUAUCUCAGAAUGUAAAUGUAUUUGGAGACAGGGUGUUUAAAUAAGUGAGGAAGGUAAAAUGAGGUCACUGGGGUGGGCCUUAAUCCGGUAUAACUGGUGUCCUUACAAGAAGAGGAAAUCUGGGCACACACGUGUACAGAGGGCAGAUGAUGUGAAGAUGCAGGAAGAUGAGAGCCAUCUACAAGCGAAGCAGGGAGGCCGCAGAAGGAACCAACCCUGCUGGCAUCUUGAUCUUGUACUUCCAGCCUCCAGUACGGGGAGAAAAUAAAUUCCUGUUGUUCAAGCCUUUCCAUCUGUGGAUCUCUGGUACCUCAUAGGCACCCCGAGCAGACUAGAAAAGUUGGUUAGGAUCAGAAAUGAAAUGAAAAUGAAGCAGCCACCAUGGCUUGCCUGGUACCCUCUUGCCUCAUUCCAGCUCCUGGCUGUUCAAGUGCCACUCUUCAGCUUGGAAAUGGGAGAAAACCUUGGAUCAGAAAACCUGGAGCCAGACAGACCUGGAUUUAAAGCCCAGCUUUGCUGUGUGAGUGCAGGCAAGUGUCUUUACCUCUCUGAGCUUCUCAUCUCUAAAAAUGGAUGAUCAAAGUGCUUCCCUGGGUGCAUGAGAAUUACAUGACACACUGGGAAUCGGGCCCAUAACACAUGGUGGGCACACAGCAGGUGCUCAACUUGUCAGCUCCAUUUCAGUUUCUGCCCACUUCCACCAAACUAUGUGGCUCAUUACUGUGGAAUGAUUUGUGUGCCCCAAAGUUCAUAUAUUGAAGCCCCAAACUCCAGCACCUCAGAGUGUAAGUGUGUCUGGAGACAGAGCUUUUAAAGAGAUGGCUAAGUUAAAACAAGGCUGUUAGGGUGGGCCCUAAUCCAAAAUAACCAGUGUCCUUAUAGGAGGAGGAAGUUUGAACACAAAGGAGAGACACCAAGGGCAUCUAUCUGCAGAGGAAAGAUCAUAUGAAGAGACUGUGAGAAGAUGGCCGUCUGCAAGCCCAAGAGAGAGCCCUCAGAAAUAACCCUACCAACACCUUGAUCUUGGACUUUCUGCCUCCAGAACUGCUGAACAGUAAUAGUGAGAGAGAGAACUCCAGUUUUCCCAAUCUUUAAUGGCAUUCAUAGAAGAAAUGAAUAUUGUCUGGAGUGAAGUACGAGAAUGGCAUCGUGGAUUUGUAAUAAAACGUCCCAUUUUUAGACAUAUUAUUUGGAAGCGAAAUGAUGUGAAUUCAGGAUUUGCCUUCACCUACUUCUGCAAUUUCCACUUCUAGCCAAGAUAAGUAAAAGGGGUCUUAUUACUCGCCUCCACCUUAAAAAAAGGAGAACACUGAAAAAUGUAUUGAAUUAUGUUUUCUGGACAUUGGACAACAGGAAGGGCAGGAAUUUGAUCCCUGGGAGAAUGAACAAAAAGAAGGUAAGGUCUGUGAUUUUCCCGGUUUACUGCCUAGGGAGAAGUUCUAGGCAGUAGCAUAGGGAAAGAAAACAAAAACACAGGCUAAUUAAAGCUUGAUUGGCAAUAUUAGCAUCAAAUAAAGUAAAUUUUAUAACCAGUAAUGUUACCAGUGAUAAAAUAGGAUUUUUUAUAAUAACAAAAGGAAUCUCUUUUCAUCAAGAAAACAUAGCCACUCUACAUGUCAAUUAAUGUGCUUCAAGAUACAUGAAGCAGAAAUAGUUCAUGGAUUGGGAAACUCAAUAUUGUUAAGAUGCCAUUUCUCUUCAAACUCAUCUAUAGAUUGAACACAAUCCUGAAAGCACUCUAGCAGUCAUCUUUUUGUAGAAAUUGAUAAGCCACUUCUAAAAUUUGUAUUGAAAUGUAAAGGACUUGGACUAGGCAAAUCAGUUUAAUGAAAGAACAAGGGUGGAUGACAUAUACUCACUAAUUUUAAGACUUACUAUAAGGAUAUGGUAAUCAAGACAGUGUGGUAUUGUCAUAAGAAUGAGCAAAUUGAUAAUGGAAUAGAACAGAGAGUAGAAAUUGAACUAUGUCAUAAAUAUUCAAUUGCUUUUUGGAAAAAGUACCUAGAAAAUUCAAUAGGGAAAGAAUAAUCCUUCCAAUAAAUGGUGCUGGAUCAGUUUGACAACCAUAUACAAAAAAGAGAAAUAUCAGCCCAUACCUCAUAUAAUGCACACAAUUAUCUUGAGAUGAAUUGUAGACCUAAAUGUAAAAGUGAAAAUUAAAUUCAGGAAGAAAACAAAAUUUCAGGAGAAAAUAUAGAAGAAAAUCACUGUGUCCUCAGGUAUGCAAAGAUGUCUUUGCAUAGGUCACAGAAAACAUGAAUCAUAAAAGAAAAAAUAAUAAAUUGGAUUUCAACAAAAUUAAACAUUCACCAUAUAAAAUAUAAGACACUGUUAAGAAAAUCAGAACUCAAGGCACAAACUGUAAGAAAUACUGACAAAACAGAUAUGUAAGAAACAAGAUGCAUUGAGAAGAGGUUUAAAAACUUACAACUCAAUAAUAAGAAGAUAAAUAACCUGAUCUAAAAUGAGUAAAAAACUUGAAUAGUCACUUUACUAAAAAAGAUAUAUGGCCAAGUGCAGUGGCUCAUGCCUGUAGCCCCAGCACUUUGAGAGGCUGAGGUGGGUGAAUUGCUUGAGUCCAAGAGUUUGAUACCAGCUGGGCAGCAUGGCAAAACCCCGGCGGAACUCCAGCCUGGGUGAUAGAGAAGACUCUGUCUCAAAAAAUAAAAAAAUUUUUAAAAAGAAGAUAUGUGGAUGGGAAAUAGUUCAUGAAAACAUAUAUGUCGAUUGUCAUUAUGACAAUGCAAAUUAAAACUACAACGCACAGCAUACACCAUUAGAAUGAAGAGGAUGUAGAGCAACUGGAACUCUCAUCUGUUGCUGGAAGCAAUGCAAAUUGUAUGUCCACUUUAGGAAACAGGCAGUUUCUUAUUAGGUUAAGCAUACACUUACUAUACAAUCCAACAAUCCCAUCUCUCGUUUUAAUCCAAGAGAAAGAAAAACACAUUUACACCAAGAUUUAUACUUAAAUAUUCAUAGUGGUUUGAUUCAUCAUAGCCUCAAACUGGAAACAACUCAAAUGUUCAUCAACUAACUGGUCAGUGGAUAAACAAAGUGUGUCAUAAUCCUAUAAAGGAAUACUACUCAGCAAUAAAAAGGAAGGAACUGGCCAGGCGCAGUGGCUCACGCCUGUAAUUCCAGCACUUUGGAAGGCCGAGGCAGGCGGAUCACUUGAGGUCAGGAGUUUGAGACCAGCCUGGCCAACAUGGUGAAACCCCAUCUCUACUAAUAAAAAAAUUAGCCAGGCAUGGUGGCACGUGCCUGUAAUCCCAGCUACUCAGGAGGCUGAGGCACAAGAAUCACUUGAACCUGGGAGGCAGAGGUUGCAGUGAGCCAAGAUUGCACCACUGCACUCUAGCCUGGGCAAUAGAAUGAAACUGUCUCAAAAAAAAAAAAUUAAAAAAGGAAGGAACUACAAUGCAUAUAAUAACAUGAAUGAAUCUCAAAAGCACUAUACCAUGAGAAGAGCAUGCCCUGGUUAGUCCACUGUUCCAAGGAGGAUGAAAAAAAUGUGGAGGAGAGCCAUCUUAGCCAAUGCACGAACCUCCAGGGAGAAUGCACCUAAACAACCAAACCUGAGCUUCGUCUGAAUGUUAGAUCUAUGAGAAUAAAUGAUUAUCGUUUUAUGUCUCUGAGGCUUCUUCACGACAUAAAUACGCAAUUCAUUGACAUAGAAAUACCUGUAGCCACUAAGGACACACUGAAUAUUAGCAUGAUAAACAUUAAUACAUUUUCAUUAGAGUAAUAGGGAAAUUUUUUCCACUGCUAUUAGCAAUGGAAAAAGAAUGAUAAUACCCAGGUUCACAAGUGUGUGAGGAAACAGACAUUUUCAUAUACUGGUGGCAUAAACACAUGGCAUUGAGUUUUGUGAUGGUUCUUACAAAGCAUGGUGGUAACAAUAGCUGAUCAAUAAAUACAUCACCUGUCGCAAGCUGAACCACUCACAAUACUAUCAUUUUUUGGCUCUCCAGAAUUGGGCACGUCAACCAAGCUUGGCUAAUUAUUAAAACCAUGCUCUAGAAUCUUUUUCAACAAGGAACCAGAGAGAGUGACUCUUGCUGUCUCUCUAACGGUGAAGUUGUGAAGUGUGAGGAUAGAAGCAACUGGUAGACAAGUUUCCAGCUGCACGCUGAAGUCUGAUCUGAGCACAGGAAACCAAUGGGCAGGGAAAAAUGGUACCUAUCAACUUUUAAAAUUGUGAUUGCUCCUGAAAUUUAUCUGCUUCCUGCCGUUCCUACUGAUCUCAUGCAUGCAUCUUCUUUUGUGUCUAACCAACUUCAAUAAAGUCCUGGCUAAUAUUCCCUGCCCACCUGCCAAGUACAUAGAGUUCUUCCCAGGUCAGUCCCAACCAACUUCCAGGCAAUUGCCUGCUAUGAAUUUUGGGAGAGGACAAAUCCCCUACCUACAGAUUAACAGGCCUUUUGUGAUAAUCUAGUCUAAAUCUCUCAUUUUGGAGAUGAGUAAAUUAAGACCCCCAAAGUGGAAUGGCUUUCUUGAGAUAACAGAAAACAAAACAUGCAUGAAAUCUGGCUCUCCUGAAUUUAAAAUAUAACAAGGGACCAUCUGAGAUGAACAGAGCAUUUAUAUGCUACUUGGCUACCUAUAAUGCCUUUAGGCAACUCAUAAGUCAGAAGCUUGUGUUCCAAAUAAGAAACAAUAAAGAGACUUACUGCAUUGCCUCUUAGAAUGGCAAAGGUUAAGAUACGUUUUACUACCCAGUGAUAUUAAAUAUCUAAAGAAAUAAACACCUUCAAAGAUGAAUGGUGGAUAUGCAAAUUGGGACAAAUCUUUCUUUUUUUUUUUUCUUUUCUGUUUUUCUUUUUUUGAGACAGAGUUUCGCUCUUGUUGCCCAGGCUGGAGUGCAAUGAGUGAUCUUGGCUUAUUGCAACCUCCACUUUCUGGGUUCAAGUAAUUCCCCUGCCUCAGCAUCCCAAGUCACUGGGAUUACAGGCACCCGCUACCACACCUAGCUAAUUUUUGUUAUUUAUUUAUUUAGAGACACAGUCUGUCUCUGUCGCCCAGGCUGGAGUACAGUGACCUGAUCUCGGCUCAAUGCAACCUCCGCCUCCCGGGUUCAAGCGAUUCUCCUGCCUCAGCCUCCUGAGUAGCUGGGAUUACAGGCGCUGGCCACUGCACCCAGCUAAUUUUUAUAUUUGUAGUAGAGACAGGGUUUCAUCAUGUUGGUCAGGCUGGUCUCAAACCCUUGACCUCAUGAUCUGCCCACCUUGGCCUCCCAAAGUGCCGGGAUUACAGGCGUGACCCACUGCGCCUGGCCUAAUUUUGGUUAUUUUUUAGUAGAGAUGGGGUUUCGCUGCAUUGGCCAGGCUGGUCUCGAACUCCUGACCUCAGGAGAUCCACCCACCUCGGCCUCCCAAAGUGCUGGGAUUACAGUUGUGAGCCACCCCGCCCAGCCGGGACAAAUCUUUCUUGGAAAGCAAUUAGGCAAUCCAGCCGUUUAUCCUCUAGUACGUUAUCCCAAGGAGACAAUUUCACAAGUUAAGGAAGUUAUAUGCAAGAAUGAUCAUCGUUUUUGUCUGGUAAUAGGGAAAUACUAGAAACAAUGUAAAAUCCAACAGAGAGGAUCAAUAUAAUUACAUUGGUAAUAACCUGCCUUCUUUUUGAUGAAAUACUAUACAAUCAUUAAAAUUUGAAUGUAUAGGAGAAUGUGGGAAGAGAGAGAACAAAAUUCUGGAAGAAUAUUCAUGUCAAUAGAGGUCUCUUUCUUUCUCUCUCUCUCUCUCACCUCUUCUCUCUCUCUUCCUUUAUUUCUUUUUCAUUUUUAGAGAUAGGGUCUCACUGUGUCACUCGGGCUGGAGUGCAGUGGCACAAUCAUAGUUCAUUGCGGCCUUGAACUCCUAGGCUCAAGUGAUCCUCCUGACUCAGAUCUCCCUAGUAGCUGGGACAACAGGCAUGCGCCACCAUACCCAGUGAGGUUUUUCCUUUGAGAUGGACAUUCUGUUGCUAGGAUUUUUGUUUAUAUGUUUGUCUGCCUUUCUCUUUAGGUAUUUCUGUAGGGUUUGAAUUUUUUACCUCUGCCCCAAAACAGGGCUACAGCAGACUGUUCCAAUAUAAGCUGACACCUGGUCCUCUGUGUUUAUCAAGGAACAUAAUCUCUGCCGAGUCAUCAUAAAUAACCAUCAGGACAUGAGGUGAUAGUCGGCCAACUUAGCUUUCCUGAGGAUCUUGGCUCCAAGAACAGCAAAGCCCUUCCCACACUUAGGUUCACUCACCCUUACACCUUUGAGCUGGAACCUGGCUGAGAGCUGCAGAACCAGCCAGGGCCACUCUGUUCCUUAGGAAAUUCUUGUCCUUUUCUACUUAACUUCUGUUUGUUUAAUGUGUUCCCUGUGUGACCUCUAGCUCCCUGGCUAAGCCAAAGUAAAAAAUGUCUUUAGCUUUCCAGGUACCAACAUAUCUAGACUACAGCAAGGUGUUGGGUUCUGAUCCCAGAAGUUUCAAAUCAUACCUAGGUUUGAAAUGAGGUGACCAAGAGGACUGGAUACCCCAGUUUUGAAUUCUGGUCUCUUUCACCUAUGAACAAGUUUCAUCUAUCUGAGCUACAGUUUUCAGUCUUGAAAAGGAUAUACCUUUCCCAGACAUUGGGGAUACAACAAGACAUAAACAGACCUGAUCCUUCCUUUUCACCAUAGGGUCUUCCGCGCCUAAUGGAAAAGCAAACAGGGUGCGGUGGCUCAUGCCUAUAAUCCUAGCACUUUGGGAAGCCGAAGAAAAUGGAUCGCUUGAGCCCAGGAGUUUGAGACAAGCCUGGAAACAAAGUGAGAACCCAUCUCUACAAGAAAUUUAAAAAAUUAGCCAGGUAAGGUGGCAUGCACCUGUAGUCUCUGCUAUUUGGGAGGCUGAGGUGGGAGGAUCACUUGAGUCCAGGAGGUUGAGGCUACGGUGAGCCAAGGUCAUGCCACUGCACUCUAGCCUGGGCAACAGGGAGAGACCCUGUCUCAAAUAAAUAAAUAAGAAGAAAAGCAGGUGUUAAAUGAAUAACUACUUAAGCAGAAUAUUGGUGUGGAAUAAAAUCGGGAUUGGGGUGAGCAGAGAAGUCAGAGAAAUGGUAUUUCAGCCAUCAGUUGAAGGAUAGGAACCAUAGGUGCACACCAUGUUGAUCUCUUUACAUAGUUCGGCAUAAUAAUUAUGUAUCUAUAUCUAUGUCUGUAGUCUCUGCCAAUACUUCCUGACGGAGUGCCUAAAACUCUUGUAAUGUCCUGAGUGAUGGGGGGGUGUUAGGUGCAUCAUUUGUUCUAGUAUUUGAUCUUUGACCCCAGUUCUUGACACAGAGUUCCUAAUUUCUUGGAAAUUUCUGGGUGAUACGCAUAUCUUUUAUUCUAGUAUUUGGUCUUUGACCCCAGUUCCUGACAUAGAGCUCCUAAUCCCUUGGAAUUUCCUGGGUGAUGGGAGCAUCUUUUAUUCUAAUGAGGUGACUCUCCUGAAUGGGGGCUGGUCACCAGAAAGACCAAGCCGUGACUAGAAGCUUGAAACUUUCAGCCCCACCUCCCAUCCUUUGGGAAAGGAAAGGGGCUGGAGAUUGAGUUAAUAAUCCAUCAUGCAAAUGUGAUGAAGCCUUCAUAAAAGUCCCUGUACUGGGGGGUGCAGAGAGCUCCCUGGUUGGUAAACACAUCUGUGUGCUGAGAGGAUGGUAUACCCCAGCUCCCUGGGAACAGAAGCUCUUCCACUUGGGACCUUUCCAGACCUCACCCUGUGUAUCUUUUUAUCCAGCUGAUCUUCUGUACCCCUUUUCAUAUCCUUUAUUAUGAAAUAAACCAGUAAACAUAAGUAAAUAUUAUCCCGAGUUCUGCGAGUCAUCCUUGAAAAUUAUUGAACCCGAGGAGGAGGGAACCUUGAUUUAUAGCCAGUCGGUCAAAAGUACAGAUGACAACCUCCUGGAACUUCGCAAUUUGCAUCUCAGAUGUGGAAAGCUGAGAGUAAGGAGGAAUAAGUACAUUUCUUAAGAUCGCGGAGCCAGAAAAGGGACAGAUGUGAAGUUUGAAAAAUCAUCUUUAAAAUUAAUGAGUGGCGAGAUGGAUAGUGCUUAGAGCAAGUGAAUACCCAACAAAUAUGGCAACCGUGGAGAUACACGGCUUGGAUUAAACUUCAAGAAGGAGCUAGCCGCGCAGCUGCGUGGAGUGCAGGCGGCUGACGGCUUCCACCUGCAGCACCUCGGAGGUCUCCCAGAGCUUCUGAGCUGAGGACACACUCAGCCCCCAGGCAGUGAGUGAACAUGAUGGGGAUACUAGGGCCCAGCCACUUCUGCCCAAUGCGGAUCGUCUCUCAAGGGCAUUUUUGGCUCUAAAGCUCCCUGCUGCACUGGCCGGGGCCUCAUCAGGAAUGCGUUGCUGGGGUCUGAGGCUCUCGCUCCUGCUUCUGCUGCCUCUCCUAAUCUCACUCGUGGUCAGAUCUG
rnacentral:lncRNA from 1 species